rnacentral:rRNA from 1 species
UGAGGUAGAGGCUCACCAAGGCGAAGACGGGUAGGGGGCCUGAGAGGGUGGUCCCCCACACGGGCACUGAGAGACGGGCCCGACUCCUACGGGAGGCAGCAGUAAGGGAUAUUGCACAAUGGGCGCAAGCCUGAUGCAGCAACGCCGCGUGCGCGAGGAAGGCCUUCGGGUCGUAAAGCGCUUUUCGGGGAGACGAGGAAGGACGGUACCCCCGGAAAAAGUGUCGGCUAACUACGUGCCAGCAGCCGCGGUAAAACGUAGGACGCGAGCGUUAUCCGGAGUUACUGGGCGUAAAGGGCGGGUAGGCGGCCAGUCAAGUUGGAUGUGAAAUCUCCCGGCUAAACUGGGAGGGGGCAUUCGAAACUGAUUGGCUAGAGGACAGCAGAGGGUCGCGGAAUUCCGGGUGGAGUGGUGAAAUGCGUAGAGAUCCGGAGGAACACCAGAGGCGAAAGCGGCGACCUGGCUGCAGCUGACGCUGAACCGCGAAAGCCAGGGGAGCGAACGGGAUUAGAAACCCCGGUAGUCCUGGCCGUAAACGAUGCUAAACUGGGCGUUGGUGGUGAGAGCCAUCAACGUCGGAGCCAACGCGGUAAGUUGGCCGCCUGGGGAGUACGACGCAAGGUUAAAACUCAAAGGAAUUGACGGGGCCCGCACAAGCAGCGGAGCGUGUGGAUUAAUUUCACGCACACGAAGACCUUAACUGGCUAGACACUCAUCUGGUAGACCGUGAAAGCGGACGAACCCUUCGGGGGGAUGACCAAGUGCCUGCAUGGCUGUCGUCAGCUCGUGCCGUGAAGGUGUUAGGUUAAGUCCUGUAACGAAGCGCAAACCUUACCGCCAGUUACAAGUGUCUGGCAGGACUGCCGGUGUGAAGCCGGAGGAAGGUGGGGAUGACGUCAAGUCAGCAUGGCCCUUUAUGUCCAGGGCUACACACACGCUACAAUGGACGGUACAGAGGGCUGCAAACCCGUGAGGGGGAGCGAAUCCCAAAAAACCGGUCCCGGUUCGGAUUGGAGGCUGAAACUCGCCUCCAUGAAGGCGGAGUUGCUA